GAACGCUGGCGGCAGGCCUAACACAUGCAAGUCGAGCGGUAACAGAAAGAAAGCUUGCUUUCUUGCUGACGAGCGGCGGACGGGUGAGUAACGCGUGGGAAACCUGCCUUUGAGUGGGGGAUAACAGUUCUAACGAGCUGCUAAUACCGCAUGACGCUGUUGAUCGCAUGUUCAACAGUUAAAGAUGGCCUCUACAUGUAAGCUGUCGCUUAAAGAUGGUCCCGCGUCCUAUUAGCUAGUUGGUGAGGUAAUGGCUCACCAAGGCAACGAUCGGUAGCCGGCCUGAGAGGGUGAACGGCCACAUUGGGACUGAGACACGGCCCAGACUCCUACGGGAGGCAGCAGUGGGGAAUUUUGGGCAAUGGGGGAAACCCUGACCCAGCGACGCCGCGUGGAGGAUGACGGCCUUCGGGUUGUAAACUCCUGUCAGGUGGGAAGAAAAGCCAGUCGGUUAAUACCCGGCAGGAAUUGACGGUACUCUGCGAAUAAGGACCGGCUAACUACGUG
rnacentral:rRNA from 1 species